AUUGAACGCUGGCGGCAUGCUUUACACAUGCAAGUCGAACGGCAGCGCGGGGGCAACCCUGGCGGCGAGUGGCGAACGGGUGAGUAAUACAUCGGAACGUGCCCAGUAGUGGGGGAUAGCCCGGCGAAAGCCGGAUUAAUACCGCAUACGACCUACGGGUGAAAGCAGGGGAUCGCAAGACCUUGCGCUAUUGGAGCGGC
rnacentral:rRNA from 1 species